AAUUAUUUAACUAAGUGGUAAGUUGGUAUCUUGAAAAUACUAAAAACAAGUUAAAUUCUUGUAAUAAUUU
rnacentral:tRNA from 1 species